rnacentral:rRNA from 1 species
GAUGAACGCUGGCGGCGUGCCUAAUACAUGCAAGUCGAGCGAACAGACGAGGAGCUUGCUCCUCUGACGUUAGCGGCGGACGGGCGAGUAACACGUGGAUAACCUACCUAUAAGACUGGGAUAAAUUCGGGAAACCGGAGCUAAUACCGGAUAAUAUAUUGAACCGCAUGGUUCAAUAGUGAAAGACGGUUUUGCCGUCACUUAUAGAUGGAUCCGCGCCGCAUUAGCUAGUUGGUAAGGUAACGGCUUACCAAGGCAACGAUGCGUAGCCGACCUGAGAGGGUGAUCGGCCACACUGGAACUGAGACACGGUCCAGACUCCUACGGGAGGCAGCAGUAGGGAAUCUUCCGCAAUGGGCGAAAGCCUGACGGAGCAACGCCGCGUGGGUGAUGAAGGUCUUCGGAUCGUAAAGCUCUGUUAUUAGGGAAGAACAGAUGUGUAAGUAACUAUGCACGUCUUGACGGUACCUAAUCAGAAAGCCACGGCUAACUACGUG